UACGAAGGGGGCUAGCGUUGUUCGGAAUUACUGGGCGUAAAGCGCACGUAGGCGGAUAUUUAAGUCAGGGGUGAAAUCCCGGGGCUCAACCCCGGAACUGCCUUUGAUACUGGGUAUCUCGAGUCCGAGAGAGGUGAGUGGAAUUCCGAGUGUAGAGGUGAAAUUCGUAGAUAUUCGGAGGAACACCAGUGGCGAAGGCGGCUUACUGGUCCGGUUCUAACGCUGAGGAGCGAAAGCCAGGGGAGCAAACGGG
rnacentral:rRNA from 1 species